CCUACGGGGGCUGCAGUGGGGAAUAUUGGACAAUGGGCGAAAGCCUGAUCCAGCCAUGCCGCGUGUGUGAAGAAGGCCUUCGGGUUGUAAAGCACUUUCAGUGGGGAAGAAAGCCUUGGGGCUAAUACCCUCGAGGAAGGACAUCACCCACAGAAGAAGCACCGGCUAACUCCGUGCCAGCAGCCGCGGUAAUACGGAGGGUGCGAGCGUUAAUCGGAAUUACUGGGCGUAAAGCGCGCGUAGGCGGUCUGAUAAGCCGGUUGUGAAAGCCCCGGGCUCAACCUGGGAACGGCAUCCGGAACUGUCAGGCUUGAGUGCAGGAGAGGAAGGUAGAAUUCCCGGUGUAGCGGUGAAAUGCGUAGAGAUCGGGAGGAAUACCAGUGGCGAAGGCGGCCUUCUGGACUGACACUGACGCUGAGGUGCGAAAGCGUGGGUAGCAAACAGGAUUAGAUACCCUAGUAGUC
rnacentral:rRNA from 1 species